UAAAGGUAUUCCGGUAGACGAUGGGGAUGCGUUCCAUUAGAUAGUAGGCGGGGUAACGGCCCACCUAGUCUUCGAUGGAUAGGGGUUCUGAGAGGAAGGUCCCCCACAUUGGAACUGAGACACGGUCCAAACUCCUACGGGAGGCAGCAGUGAGGAAUAUUGGUCAAUGGGCGAGAGCCUGAACCAGCCAAGUAGCGUGAAGGAUGACUGCCCUAUGGGUUGUAAACUUCUUUUAUAAAGGAAUAAAGUCGGGUAUGGAUACCCGUUUGCAUGUACUUUAUGAAUAAGGAUCGGCUAACUCCGUGCCAGCAGCCGCGGUAAUACGGAGGAUCCGAGCGUUAUCCGGAUUUAUUGGGUUUAAAGGGAGCGUAGAUGGAUGUUUAAGUCAGUUGUGAAAGUUUGCGGCUCAACCGUAAAAUUGCAGUUGAUACUGGAUAUCUUGAGUGCAGUUGAGGCAGGCGGAAUUCGUGGUGUAGCGGUGAAAUGCUUAGAUAUCACGAAGAACUCCGAUUGCGAAGGCAGCCUGCUAAGCUGCAACUGACAUUGAGGCUCGAAAGUGUGGGUAUCAAACAGGAUUAGAUACCCUGGUAGUCCACACGGUAAACAAUGAAUACUCGCUGUUUGCGAUAUACUGCAA
rnacentral:rRNA from 1 species